AUUAGUAUCUUUUUUAAAAACAAACCAAUUAACCACUCAAAGUACAUAGUUUAUUUUGAGAAAAUAAUGGAAAUCUUAUUUAAAGCUAAAACAUUAUCUAACAAAACAUGGAGAACUAAAAUAAAUGAAAGCAAUCCUUUAACAAGUAUCUGAGUUUUCGGCAUUAACAGCCAUUACGACAUUUAUUUUCACAUUUGAAAGGAAAAAAUACAAGAAAAUUCUUUUGAACCGAGGACCUAAGAAUUGUAUCAAGAAUAGUUAGCACUUAUGUCGACGUACUAUCCAUUAAUCUUUUUUACUCUACUUCUACAAAAAUGUGGAAGAAAAAAACCUAAUACCUAAACUCGAGUAUAUUUUAAUUACCUAUUGCGAGAGAUAGUUCACUUACACGUAAACAUUAAGUUAGAUGCAAUUAUAAUAACCUUGAACAUAAACUUGAAUAUUUUUUUGUAAAUAAAUGAAAAUACAUCUUGCUUUAAAUAAACUUCUAGCUUUAUUUUCUCUUAAUGUAGUAUAGACUAAACUUUUUCAGCAAAAUCGCUGGCGUGGAAGUGUGUAAAUUUUUACGUUAAACAGAAUUUGGUUUAGAGAGUAAUGUGUAAACGUAUUAGAACAAUAUAUUUAUAUACUUAAAGCAAACCGGCAGUGAUAUCUUGAGUAUGUGUCAUAUGACUGUUUGCAAAAUACGACGUUAUGCUGUAAUCCUGUGGAGCAAUCCGGAGCUCCGCGAUACCUGUAGCUCAUGUUAUUCUGAAGUAUAAGGAGGUUUUUGGUUUAAUUCAGAUAAAACCAAAUAAACAACAAGAAUAAACUUAAAACUAUAUAAAAACAAGAAAGUAUUGCUACGAAGAGAAGCACUUAGACUUAGACAUUUCGGACAUACAAUUUCAAAUUUAAUAUUCUCUCAAGUAAGUUUCUGUAAGUUUCUUGGAAACUUGGAACUCUGGUUUGGUACUAAGUUACGUAACUAAUUCACAAUCACGACUAAAAUUAAUAUAGUAUCAAGGACAAAGAAAAGCACAGUUAUAAGACAUAUAAUAAAACUUUCUGCUAUGGUAUACUUAUACACUUGAUUUUUGAUUCAAAGACAGCUGUCUGUCUAUAUUAGCAUCACUGAAUCUAAGGCCUUUGACACUAGGUGGCUUAUUUCAAAGAUCAAACAAGUCUGUACGGAUUGAACAAUUAAAACUAAGACACUCUGACCUAUUUAAUUAAUAUUCUUAUAUUGUAAACUAUGAGAACCCAAUACUAUGAACCAUUUACAAUAUAUUAUUCCUUAAUUUAUGCGUGACAAGGCUGCCUCAACAUUAUAAACGUAUGGAGUAUAAUACAUCAUUUAUAUAAAAAUGUAACAACAGAAACGUGUUAUAUGAUUGUCUUAAACCAAUUAUCAAUGCGUGUUUACAUAAAGAGGUAAUCUAAAAUAAUCUCUAAUAAGUCGGAAGAUGAGGCAUCGAGUCAAAUCGGGCGUAAAAGCUGGACAAGGUCAGGCCAAGGCCUUUGAGCCAUUGGCUCUGGAUAACUGAGACGGGAAUUUGUAUUGUUUCUGUCAAUAUUAAUUAUCACAAAUAUUUUACUUCUCAUUUUACAAUAUCCUGCUUACUUCGACCUUUAAUCUAAAAGAUGCGUCAUGUUUUUUUUUAUUAUUAUAUUUCUGAUUUACAUUGCUUACUAGCUGUGUCGCAGCUAAAGUUAAGUUAACAUAAUUACCAUUUAUUAAACCAUCUUAUAAUGCAAGUAAUAACCGUUUCAGAUAAAGCGGAACGCACUGAUAAAUAGACGGAAAGACAAUCUUUUUUUUUUUAUAAUAUGGCCUCAUCCGUGCAAAGACAUGCACAGUA